GUGCCUAACACAUGCAAGUCGAACGAGACGUGGGGGCAACUCCACAAGUACUAGUGGCAAACGGGUGAGUAACACGUGAACAAUCUACCCUCAAGUGGGGAAUAACACCGCGAAAGCGGUGCUAAUACCGCAUGACAUCUCCAGACCGCAUGGUGUGGAGAUCAAAAGCGCAAGUUGCUUGAGGAGGAGUUCGCGCCUGAUUAGCUUGUCGGUGAGGUAACGGCUCACCAAGGCAACGAUCAGUAGCCGGCCUGAGAGGGUGAACGGCCACACUGGAACUGANGGCACGGUCCAGACUCCUACGGGAGGCAAGCAGUGGGGAAUUUUGCUGCAAUGGGCGAAACGCCUGACGCAGUCAACGCCGCNGUGGAGGAUGA
rnacentral:rRNA from 1 species